GUCUCAUGUGGAAGAGAGAAGGUUAAUGCUCCCUUUGGUAAGAAUGCAGGAGGCCUGGGCAACACAUGUGUUGUUAACGCGUUGCCAGCUACUUGGUGGCAUCUGGGCAUGGUUUUGA
rfam:Sus scrofa chromosome 10.